rnacentral:tRNA from 1 species
UCCUACGUGGUCUAGUGGCUAGGAUAUCUGGCUCUCACCCAGAAGGCCCGGGUUCGAUUGCCAGGGUGGGAU